rnacentral:snRNA from 1 species
GGACAGUGUGAGAGUGAUCUGGCUACCCUGACAUCUCAUUGAUGGCCAGGGUGAAUUUGGCUGAUCUCACUGGCUAGGCAAGUGUCCCUUGUCUCCCACAUUGCUCCAUGUGUGUCCCUCCAGGGCUGCACACUGACAUUUGCUUAAAGAGGACAAGCUGCCCCAAUAAAGAAGGACCCAUCCUUAGGCAGGGGCAUACAAGCAGCUGUGCUGUCCUGCUAGAAUCUCUAGACAAGCUCACAAGACCCACCUGUAGGACAGUGUAGACCAGUCCAAUUCCCAAGGCUCCGGGCACAUUCAAGUGGAGGCUGCUCGUGACAGCCUGCCUUUCUUU